UCUCACUAUCAACCCCGUCCCGUUCUAACGUACACCUUUAUUCCAUUACCCUUUUCCAAAUUAUCACAUGCACCUACUUCCACGCUUCUUAGCAUGGUCCCCACUCUCUUUCUCAGAAUUAAGCAUUCUUAAACUAAACUCAUUUCAAUGUUAGACCACCUUACAUUUUUUUUUUAUCAGCACUAAUUUAUUAAAAAAUAAAUAGUUAGGAGAACAAAUGGUACUCCUAUCCACAGAGAGACGUUAACUACUACAAGAAAUGCAACUAGAUGGAUUCCAAACCCAUUCCAAAAAGGAGAAAGAAAACCCUGCGAAUCGAACACUAAAAAGAUUCCAUAAAUGAAGGUUAAUAACGAAUAUUACCUCAUCAAGAUUAAAAGAAGACUGCUCAAAGAUAAUUUUGUUUCUAACCAACCACAAGGACCAAAUAGUGACAAACCAAAUGGUCAUCCAUUGUUGAUGAAAAUUUUUCGCCUCUCCAGUGCCAAUGAGAUAGAAAAUUGCUUCCGAUACUACUAGGCAGAAUAGAGUAGAUGUCGAACAAGGAGUAAAGUUUCUGCCAUACACUAUAAGACAACGAGCACGUGAAGAACAAAUGAUAAUAGAUUCUUCUAACUCACCACAAAAGGCACAUAGAGUCGAGGAAAGAGAUCCUAUAAUACCACCUUACAUUAUUAUUUACAACAUCAAGUGAAUUCUGUUCCUCUUAACUCUUGGUAUGAUUGUAGAGAAGAUCCGUACCAUAACAUAUGAUUAGAUGCUGUGGGUGUUCGUGCACCUCAUUUGUCAAGCAUAAAAAAUUGACAGUGAGUGAAUCAUAUUUUCAUUAUUUCACAUUAUUUAACUUUAAAUAAUGUCAUAUGCCCCCAGAGACCCAGUGUUCAUUUCGAGUAUAGCUUCAGUGGGACCAAACCUCCAAUUCAAUUAUUUUCACAAUGCUAAUAACAAAAGCCACUUAUAGUAUACAAUUCAAUUCGGAAACAGACUCUUAAUUGUUUAUUAGUAUCGGUUACCAGUGCAGUGGUGGCAUGUGUCCUGAUACAUUUUCUUCUGGAUCUACAGUGUCUCUGAUUGAUCUGCACUCUGCUAUCUGCACUGCUAUGCUGCCACACGCUUGGGUGUGGAUCCACUCCACCUCACAGAUUCAUUCAUUCAAAGUCACAUCUUAUUUUGCACACUAUUCUUUUACUACAAAUCUCUCACUCUUUUGCAUUUCGG
rnacentral:lncRNA from 1 species